rnacentral:rRNA from 1 species
GAUGAACGCUGGCGGCGUGCCUAAUACAUGCAAGUCGAGCGAACAGACGAGGAGCUUGCUCCUCUGACGUUAGCGGCGGAAGGGUGAGUAACACGUGGAUAACCUACCUAUAAGACUGGGAUAACUUCGGGAAACCGGAGCUAAUACCGGAUAAUAUAUUGAACCGCAUGGUUCAAUAGUGAAAGACGGUUUUGCUGUCACUUAUAGAUGGAUCCGCGCCGCAUUAGCUAGUUGGUAAGGUAACGGCUUACCAAGGCAACGAUGCGUAGCCGACCUGAGAGGGUGAUCGGCCACACUGGAACUGAGACACGGUCCAGACUCCUACGGGAGGCAGCAGUAGGGAAUCUUCCGCAAUGGGCGAAAGCCUGACGGAGCAACGCCGCGUGAGUGAUGAAGGUCUUCGGAUCGUAAAACUCUGUUAUUAGGGAAGAACAAAUGUGUAAGUAACUAUGCACGUCUUGACGGUACCUAAUCAGAAAGCCACGGCUAACUACGUG